AACGAACGCUGGCGGCAUGCCUAACACAUGCAAGUCGAACGAAGUCUUCGGACUUAGUGGCGCACGGGUGCGUAACGCGUGGGAAUCUGCCCUUGGGUGCGGAAUAACUUCUCGAAAGGGAUGCUAAUACCGCAUAAUGUCGUAAGACCAAAGAUUUAUCGCCCAAGGAUGAGCCCGCGUAAGAUUAGCUAGUUGGUGGGUAAAAGCCUACCAAGGCGACGAUCUUUAGCUGGUCUGAGAGGAUGAUCAGCCACACUGGGACUGAGACACGGCCCAGACUCCUACGGGAGGCAACAGUGGGGAAUAUUGGACAAUGGGCGAAAGCCUGAUCCAGCAAUGCCGCGUGAGUGAUGAAGGCCCUAAGGGUUGUAAAGCUCUUUUAACCAGGGAUGAUAAUGACAGUACCUGGAGAAUAAGCUCCGGCUAACUCCGUGCCAGCAGCCGCGGUAAU
rnacentral:rRNA from 1 species